UACGAAGGGGGCUAGCGUUGCUCGGAAUCACUGGGCGUAAAGCGCACGUAGGCGGAUUGUUAAGUCAGGGGUGAAAUCCUGGAGCUCAACUCCAGAACUGCCUUUGAUACUGAAGAUCUUGAGUCCGGGAGAGGUGAGUGGAACUGCGAGUGUAGAGGUGAAAUUCGUAGAUAUUCGCAAGAACACCAGUGGCGAAGGCGGCUCACUGGCCCGGUACUGACGCUGAGGCACGAAAGCGUGGGGGGCAAACAGG
rnacentral:rRNA from 1 species